UACACUCCUACGGGAGGCAGCAGUGGGGAAUAUUGGACAAUGGGGGCAACCCUGAUCCAGCCAUGCCGCGUGAGUGAUGAAGGCCCUAGGGUUGUAAAGCUCUUUUGUGCGGGAAGAUAAUGACGGUACCGCAAGAAUAAGCCCCGGCUAACUUCGUGCCAGCAGCCGCGGUAAUACGAAGGGGGCUAGCGUUGCUCGGAAUCACUGGGCGUAAAGGGUGCGUAGGCGGGUCUUUAAGUCAGGGGUGAAAUCCUGGAGCUCAACUCCAGAACUGCCUUUGAUACUGAGGAUCUUGAGUCCGGAAGAGGUGAGUGGAACUGCGAGUGUAGAGGUGAAAUUCGUAGAUAUUCGCAAGAACACCAGUGGCGAAGGCGGCUCACUGGUCCGGUACUGACGCUGAGGCACGAAAGCGUGGGGAGCAAACAGGAUUAGAAACCCUGGUAGUCCCAUGAU
rnacentral:rRNA from 1 species